GCAGCUGACUGUUAAAUCAAGGAUGCUCUGGCUAGUUGAGGCCACUGGCCGAUGAACUCAUAAGUGUGGGUAGUGUGCUACAUGAGGGGCAAGUUUUUCGCUAACACCACAAGGGUCUCUGGCCCAGUGAGUGGAGUUUGAUAGUAACACUUGCUACAAAA